CCUACGGGUGGCAGCAGUAGGGAAUCUUCCACAAUGUGCGCAAGCCUGAUGGAGCAACACCGCGUGAGUGAAGAAGGGUUUCGGCUCGUCAACUUCUAUCAACAGGGACGAAAGAAAUGACGGUACCUGAAUCAGAAGCCCCGGCUAACUACGUGCCAGCAGCCGCGGUAAUACGUAGGGGGCACGCGUUAUCCGGCAUUACUGGGUGUAAAGGGUGAGUAGGCGGCAUGGUAAGCCAGAUGUGAAAGCCUUGGGCUUAACCCGAGGAUUGCAUUUGGAACUAUCAAGCUAGAGUACAGGAGAGGAAAGCGGAAUUCCUAGUGUAGCGGUGAAAUGCGUAGAUAUUAGGAAGAACACCAGUGGCGAAGGCGGCUUUCUGGACUGAAACUGACGCUGAGGCACGAAAGCGUGGGGAGCGAACAGGAUUAGAUACCCCGGUAGGC
rnacentral:rRNA from 1 species